GCUACGCCAAACAGAUCAAAACCAGGACUGGAGGACUGAAGAUGAAGCCGGCAAAAAGUCACCAGCCACGGCUCUUGUAAGGUAUGCUUCACCUCUCCUGCUAAGUCUUCAUCCCUGUCUAUGAGGACAAAGAAGUUACGGGUUAAAUUGGCGAUGGGCCAGGCGCUCCUUGAGGAUGCUCUAAAGUUGGUGAUAGAAAAUGGGAGAACUGAAGACAACCACUUUAUAAAACCCUUGCCUGCUUGAAUUUGUGGUGAUGAACCGGCCCCUGGGAUUUGCUGCUCAGAACCUGAGUUCACUGAGACAUCAGGAGCAAGCACUGGAGGCCGGGUGCUGCUGGAUCCUGAUGGGAGCCAUGCAGGACUUGACCAUGGCCUGCACACACUUCUUCCCAGGAGAAGGGGAAUGAGGAAGGAAUCAUGGGAAGGAGGACAUGUGGUGCUGUGACUUCUGAAACUAUUUUCCUCAUGAUGGCAGUUGUGCUCCACAAAAGAUCUUUUGAUUGUUUCCCCCCCCUCCCCGCUUCCUGUGUGAAAAAUUAUCAAGGAGAAUAUAGGUACCAAGGAAGAUUGGUUCGGUGAACUUUGCCUGUCCUCGAAUCGGUUCAGGGAUGGUUUGUUUUGUUUUUUGUUUUUGUUUUUUUGUUUUCUUGUUUUCCUUCUGAAGUCAUUCUGAGUCCUCAUUCUACCCUAGGUUGUAGGCCAUUUCCUUUUCUACAGCUGUUCAUACUCACCCUUUUUAGCUACUUAAUUUUGCUCUUGAUUGUCUAGUCUUAUUCAUUGGUUACAAUUUUCACACAGGAAAGGUAGUCUAGGAGCUUCGAAAGGAAAGCUUUUUUCAUGCAGGGUGAUUGGUAUUGCUGAGGGCUAACAACCCUUGCCUACCGUAUCCUAGAGCCUGGGUUUGCUCCCCAGGACUGAAAUGGGCACUGUUACC
rnacentral:sRNA from 1 species